UUUUACCCGCUUGAAAUUAAGCAUAUAAUUAAGCGGUGGAAAAGAAACUAACAAGGAUUCCUCUAGUAAGGGCGACUGAAGCAGGAACAAGCUCGCUUUGAUAAUCUGUGCUUAUUGCACCGAAUUGUGGUUGGAUCUACUUCGUCUUCUGGUACUGAAUAAGUCCGUUGGAAAACGGCAGCUGAGAGGGUGACACUCCCGUCCUUUUCAGGAUCUCGGUUGACUAGCAAGUGAAUCCAUCGAGUCAAGUUGUUUGGGAUUGCAGCUUAAAGCUGGUGGUAAAUUCCAUCUAAAGCUAAAUAUUGGUAGAAGACCGAUAGCAAACAAGUACUGUGAAGGAAAGAUGAAAAGAACUUUGAAAAGAGAGUUAAAGAGUACCUGAAAUUGUUGAAAGGGAAGGGGAUGCAACCAGUGUCAUACUGUGUCAUAUUUCUGGUGUUACUUGUAAUACUGGCGCUGUGGCAUGGUUUGGGUCAGCACGGGUUCGGUCUGUGUGAAACUGUUUCUUAGCAUGUGGCCUCUUAGAGGUGUCUGGCUUUGAUUCUUUAACUCGGACUGGACUGAGGCAGUCUUUAAUGCUCGUGGUGCUGGCGAAAUGGUUUUAUCUCUCCCGUCUUGAAAC
rnacentral:rRNA from 1 species